AGUGAACGCUGGCGGUAGGCCUAACACAUGCAAGUCGAACGGCAGCACAGUAAGAGCUUGCUCUUACGGGUGGCGAGUGGCGGACGGGUGAGGAAUACAUCGGAAUCUACUUUUUCGUGGGGGAUAACGUAGGGAAACUUACGCUAAUACCGCAUACGACCUACGGGUGAAAGCAGGGGAUCUUCGGACCUUGCGCGAUUGAAUGAGCCGAUGUCGGAUUAGCUAGUUGGCGGGGUAAAGGCCCACCAAGGCGGCGAUCCGUAGCUGGUCUGAGAGGAUGGUCAGCCACACUGGAACUGAGACACGGUCCAGACUCCUACGGGAGGCAGCAGUGGGGAAUAUUGGACAAUGGGCGCAAGCCUGAUCCAGCCAUACCGCGUGGGUGAAGAAGGCCUUCGGGUUGUAAAGCCCUUUUGUUGGGAAAGAAAAGCAGCAGGUUGAUACCCCGCUGUUCUGACGGUACCCAAAGAAGAAGCACCGGCUAACUUCGUG
rnacentral:rRNA from 1 species